GACGAACGCUGGCGGCGUGCUUAACACAUGCAAGUGGUGCGACGAACCAGGCUUCGGCCUGGGGCAGAGCCGCGAACGGGUGAGUAACACGUGGGCAACCUGCCCUGUUGAUCGGGACAACCCGGGGAAACCCGGGCUAAUACCGAAUGUGGUGCCGGCUCAUGAGAGCCGUCACGAAAGGAAGCUUCGGCCUCAGCGACCGGAAGGGCCCGCGGCCCAUUAGCUUGUUGGUGGGGUAAUGGCCUACCAAGGCAACGAUGGGUAGCUGGUCUGAGAGGACGAUCAGCCACACUGGGACUGAGACACGGCCCAGACUCCUACGGGAGGCUGCAGUGGGGAAUCUUGCGCAAUGAGCGACAGCUUGACGCAGCAACGCCGCGUGGGGGAAGAAGGCUUUCGGGUCGUAAACCCCUUUCAGUUAGGACGAAGCUUUAUUGGUUAAUAACCAAUUGGAGUGACGGUACCUUCAGAAGAAGCACCGGCUAACUACGUGCCAGCCGCCGCGGUAA
rnacentral:rRNA from 1 species